rnacentral:sRNA from 1 species
GAGAAUAGAGGAGCUGAAGGGAAACGAAAGUAGGAGAAUGUUGGCCAGAGCUAGUAGAGAAAGAACGUAAUAUUGAGAAAGCAGACAUCAGUGCUAGGUGAGGUGCUUUCUUUAGAGAGCUGUGUGUAUAGACUGGGGAGGAGUCUGUCUGGGGACAGGAAUGCUGAUUCCUUUUUUUCCCUGGGCAGAAUCCUAAUGUACCUGGCUAGCUGGUGGUGAGUAGGGGCUUUGGGGCCAACUUGGUGGGCUCCCCAAGGAAACCCCUUUGAAACCAAUGGAUGCAUUCACGGGCUCGGGUCUCAAGAGGAAGUUUGAUGAUGUGGAUGUGGGCUCAUCAGUUUCCAACUCAGAUGAUGAGAUCUCCAGCAGUGAUAGUGCUGACAGCUGCGACAGCCUCAAUCCUCCUACCACUGCCAGCUUCACACCCACAUCCAUCCUGAAGCGGCAGAAGCAGCUGCGGAGGAAGAAUGUACGCUUUGACCAGGUGACUGUAUACUACUUUGCCCGGCGCCAAGGUUUUACCAGUGUGCCCAGCCAGGGUGGUAGCUCUCUGGGCAUGGCCCAGCGCCAUAACUCUGUA